rnacentral:rRNA from 1 species
AUUGAACGCUGGCGGCAGGCUUAACACAUGCAAGUCGAGCGGGGUGAUGGUGCUUGCACUAUCACUUAGCGGCGGACGGGUGAGUAAUGCUUAGGAAUCUGCCUAUUAGUGGGGGACAACAUCUCGAAAGGGAUGCUAAUACCGCAUACGUCCUACGGGAGAAAGCAGGGGAUCACUUGUGACCUUGCGCUAAUAGAUGAGCCUAAGUCGGAUUAGCUAGUUGGUGGGGUAAAGGCCUACCAAGGCGACGAUCUGUAGCGGGUCUGAGAGGAUGAUCCGCCACACUGGGACUGGGACACGGCCCAGACUCCUACGGGAGGCAGCAGUGGGGAAUAUUGGACAAUGGGGGGAACCCUGAUCCAGCCAUGCCGCGUGUGUGAAGAAGGCCUUAUGGUUGUAAAGCACUUUAAGCGAGGAGGAGGCUCUUUUGGUUAAUACCCAGAAUGAGUGGACGUUACUCGCAGAGUAAGCACCGGCUAACUCUGUGCCAGCCGCCGCCGUAA